AUACGGAGGGUCCGAGCGUUAUCCGGAAUCAUUGGGUUUAAAGGGUCCGUAGGCGGGAAUCUAAGUCAGUGGUGAAAUCUUGCAGCUCAACUGUAAAAUUGCCAUUGAUACUGGAUUUCUUGAAUUAGUGUGAAGUGGUUAGAAUGUGUAGUGUAGCGGUGAAAUGCAUAGAUAUUACACAGAAUACCAAUUGCGAAGGCAGAUCACUAACACUAUAUUGACGCUGCGGGACGAAAGCGUGGGGAGCGAACAGGAUUAGAUACCCCGGUAGUCC
rnacentral:rRNA from 1 species